rnacentral:lncRNA from 1 species
GAAAACCAUGUUUUAUAUUCAGAUAUUUGCGGUUUUACUAGUGAACAAGAACAAGAUUGUUAAUUACGGGUACAAAUUGAAUGUACGUGAUAUUUAUGUGUACAAGGUUCCGAAUUUCCUUAUGUACGUGAAACUAUCAUGCAAAUUAUGAUAUUUAUUACAGUAUGACACAUUUUGCUACAUAUAAAAUGUAUGUGCGUAUUUAUCUACGUAAAUUAAUAGAAUAUAUAUGUUCAUUUUAUGAACGUGAGAUUAUAGAGUUCAUGUUUAUGUUGCAUGAACGUGCAAGUAAAAAUGCAUAUCUAAAUUGAUAAUCGUACUAAAGAGUUUGUACAAUUAUAUUAUUGCUAGGUUCCAGCCUGCACCAGAGUAAUACAAUGCUGCGGUGUUAAGGAGUGGUCAUACAGAUUGAACGCAAUCAUACAUAAUUCAUCAAACAACAUAUCUACAUAUUAUAGUGGAACUGUCGUGCACGAUACCAUAACCGUCAUAACGAUACCAUAACCGUCAUAACGAUACAAAGGGAAGUAAUCUGGAUAUACAAACUACUGAAGCUGUUGAACUAUUUAUUUGGACUUUAAUGUUUAGAAUAAUUUGAUGUAUUUUUUCUUCUUAAUUGUUUUUUUUUUUGUUUGUUUAUUAAAUAAUUUAUUUAUUCUAAUCGUUGAUUCUUUAGUCAAUAUUGUAAAAUAGCACUGAAAGACUUAUCCAUCCGUCCGUCCGUGACAAUUGGUGUCAGAAGUGGGAUAAGUCUGAAGUGUUUUUUUUCUUAUACAUUUUGAAGUUAAAUUUAUAUUUUCUAUAGAAGAAUUGUU